GACGCCGUUGCCUGGAGACAGCAGGGACGCGUUGCCUGGAGACUGUGGAAGGCCCAGGCAAAAGGGCGCGUGGCAGCCCAAGGCCAUGGCGGGACACCCAAAAGAGAAGGUGAUUCCAGAUGAGGUCCAUCAGAACCAGAUCUUGCGGGAACUGUACCUCAAGGAGCUACGAACCCAGAAACUCUACACGCAGUAUCACGUGAAUCCCCUCCGCAAGAGUGAGAGUUCAUACAGUCACCAGGAAGCCCAUGUCUUGGCAUGAUAACCUGGAGGAACCUGCAGAUGAUCAACCCAGAACGCCAUGACCGCAGGCUGAAUCACUUCAGGGUCUGCAGUGACAUCACUCUGUACAAGGCUAAAACGUGGGGCUUAGGAGAUGAUCACCACAAGUAGCAUCCCAGCAGAUGAGCCUAUCUGUGGAUCUAAUGCCCUAAGUGUGCACAGCCCAGAGAAAUAAAAUACUACUUUAAAACGAA
rnacentral:sRNA from 1 species